UACGAAGGGGGCUAGCGUUGCUCGGAAUUACUGGGCGUAAAGGGCGCGUAGGCGGCCUGUUAAGUCGAACGUGAAAUCCCCGGGCUCAACCCGGGAACUGCGUCCGAUACUGGCAGGCUUGAAUCCGGGAGAGGGAUGUGGAAUUCCAGGUGUAGCGGUGAAAUGCGUAGAUAUCUGGAGGAACACCGGUGGCGAAGGCGGCAUCCUGGACCGGUAUUGACGCUGAGGCGCGAAAGCCAGGGGAGCAAACGGG
rnacentral:rRNA from 1 species